CAGUGAAUUCUUAGGGAACCCAAAGUCAAGAUACCCUAUUUCGCCGCCUCCGCCUCCGCCUCCGCCUCCGCCUCGCCAUCGGCCAUUGUCGGUCUUCCACUUUGCAGGAAGGAAAUGGAGAAGUAGAAGAAGGAAUGGAGCAGGUCUUGUUUGAUGACAAGAUGUGCUGUUUUGUACACCAGAUAAAAUCCAUGUUUUUUUGCAACAUCAGCUGCAGAUAAGGACCAUCCAUGAUUGGCUCAAUGGACCUAUCAAGCUCAGUUGUUGGCGAUGAGGCAAUGAAGGAAGAGUGGGUGGUAGUUAAAAAACGUAGAAUUAUAAUUUUGGUUCCUCCAGCUGGAGAAUCUCAAUCUGUGGUUCCUAAGGUAAAAUCUACCAAGUCAAGAAGAAAUAUCCAAAUCUCGGGUAGUCCUAAGAGAAGGGCUAAAAGGAUUCCAAACAGAAAGAGCUC